GGGCCCGCUGCAGAUCACAAUAUUUUCUCAACACAUGAAUACUAACGUGUGCUUGAUAAUUCAACAAUACGAUGUUAUGGCCAUCAAUUUUGAUUGUUUCUACUUUGAUUGUAAAAAAAAUAAGUCAGUUUCGGACGCCUGCAUUUCCCAGAAUCCUCUCUGCCUUCGUUGCUAUGGAAUCUGAGCCAGUCCUCUUUGCUAUUGGGUGAUUUCUUCUUCGGUACUCGUAAUUGACAGGGAUUCUCUCAUACGCGAAAAUCAUUGUCCAGGUAAGUGAUGCUUUCGUUUAAAGUUCACUAUUUGUUUAAAUGUUAUAAUUCACACCUUUCUUUUGGCAUUACGCUGACAUUGCCAUACCCGUACGAAAAUUAACCAUGUUUUUGUGGUAAAAGUGUAGUAACUACGGUUUGUGUAUCGAUUAUUUGCAAAAUGGUUUUACUAAACCAAACAUGGUUUAACUUUUUUUUUUCAAAUUCAUGGUUCUUUCUUAACUUGCAACCUAUCUCUAUAUAUACUGCAUCUGUUGUACCUGUCUGUCCAGCUGUGUGUUUGUCUUUCUGUCUUUGUCUGCUUUGCAAUGGCCACCAGAUAUACCCCUCACAAACAGGAUCCCCACUACCAAGAGGGGAGGCUCAUGGCUCUUGAGCUGAACCAUGACCACAUUCUAGCUGAAGCCAAGAGCAGCUGUGGAGACGAAACGUUUAUGCCCUAGAAGAGACCCUUCACAGACCUCUAACAGGAUCUUUGUUGGCUGGGGCAAGCUGAGGGGGAGGCAAGGAGGGUGACGCCAAGCCUCAGCUACAGGUCACUUUUACAGGUUGAGUGCUUCCUGUCAUCCAGUGUGGAGUUUCCACUUAACUGUACCCUCAGCAAAACUAAAUCCUCAUGAGGAAUUUGGUGCAGAGAGUGGUUCUGUGGGGACCGUGAUGUAUUACGUCACAAAAAACAGCCACUCCCCAAUAGGGAAUGUGUAAUUAAUAGUUUUUUUGUAGCCAUCCGUCCAACCAAAUGCAUCAUUAAAGGGGAAGAUGGAUAUUGCACUCAACACAAGAUAUGUUCAUCAUUCAUCAGUUCUCACUUCCCUGGACUUCAACCUGGCUACACACAUGGUAUCGUUAUUAAUCGAAACAAAGACAGAUAUCUUUAUAUUUUUGUUCUCUGCAGACAAACAAAAAAUGUUAGCUGUUGCAAAGCAAUUUGGUGAGUUAGCAAAUGAUACUACUCGAGAAGUUAGGCAGAAGGAGUGCUAUACUGGGAUUAUAGAAACUUAUAAGAUGUCUCUUAAACAUUCACAAUGUGCAGAAUGAACUAACUGUUUUAAAAUAGUAUGUGGUAAAUGUUUUUUUUCCAAGGGCGUUUUGACUUGCCUCAGCCACUGUAUGUCUGUUAAACAUGCAAACAGCAAAGGACCCCAGACCUGAAAGACCUUCUGAGGAGUGGAUAUUGGCCAGCUUCAAUAAACAACACCACACUUUACACACUGGACCUCCUGAUCUCCUUUCAAGAACUCAAAGUCAUCUCUCCAAGAUUUUCCAGACAAGCCUUCGCAAAGCUGCUGGAGCAUCGCACGAAGUGUGGAGGAAGAUUUGGAUAUAUCAACGGCGAUGCACUGCAAUGCAGCUUCUUGGAGUUUUCAUACGCUUCAUUUGAAUCAGACCAGCUCUGGUGUGGUGCUCCUUUCACCUGCCCAGCCUGAACGCUAGAAUUGUUGGCUGCUUCAGCAGAUCGAAACAGAAAGCUAUAUCGCUUUUGCCGAAACAGAAGACUGUGGCUUGCAAAUAUUGGCCAUUUGAAGAAAGUUGCUAGUGUCCUUCCUGAUCUUCAGGAGCUGACCUCAAUGAAACCUUUCCUUAAUGUUAUGCAUGCUUGAGCCACACAAAAAAGUUUGAGAUUAAAUGAAGUGGUAGGAACCAGGAAGGAACCGGGACAACCACCGGUGAGUGGAGCAAGUGAACAGCUACCUUUCACGUUGUGCCCGUACAACCAAAUAUAUGUCCAAAGCAGGUGAUCAGAGUGUUUGUAAUAUUUUUGUAUACUUUUUUAUAUUGAGCAUCAUACCCUCAUUAUUUUCUUUCAACGGCAGGGGUGGACAUGCUUACAUUGCAUGCAGUGGGCUGGAACCAUAAAAAGUAUCUCUCUACAUCAGGCACUUUCCACAAUAUAUGUGAAAAGACAUCAGAAACAUCUCAUGCCAGUCAAGACACCACACACAGAAAACUUCAGCAGUCAAUUGAGGGGCUUUAUCUUAGUGUGAUGCUGCGCAAGCAAACUCUCUACUGUCAGAAUGACAGCAGCAAGCUUUGCCACCGCCUUCAAAGGAAGCUGGCAGAUGACAAAAGCUCCUUCUUCAGGAGAUACAGAAAUACAAUGAUCUUGUACUAGACUCUGCCACAAACAUUGACCUAGCUGUGGUGGAGCAUUCCCUCACUGGAGAGAGCAGUGUGUCUCAGAUAUGACCGUGGGACCUUCAUGGCAGUGCAAACAUUUUAGUCAAGAAACGAUUGCAUGACCAAGUGAUGUUGACAAUGCGACUGCACGAGGAAAGGGGCAUUGUGGUGUUGGAGAUGGCUCAACAAUACACAUGGUUGCAGAGCCUGGCAGUGGCUCUCAAGAACAAGAUGGCUGAGGAGGACAAGGGAAAUGAAGGACUUUGCUGUCUCUUAAGAAGAAGAUCGUCAGUGGUGUCAGAAGGGUUACAAGUCGUCCUUCAACAAUACAAGACUGCAUUAGGUCUUGAGGUCUCUGUCCUUCUACAUGUUGAAGAAGAAGAUCAAAGUGACCUCAGCAGUCCAGAUACCAGCGAGGAUGAAGAGGAAAACAUAAUUUAGAUAGAAACUACACAAAGGACUGCGUUUAAGGAAAUGGACUUGGCAUAUAUCUGUGUAGUGUUAGUAUGCUAACUACAUUAUUAUCUGUAUGCAUCCUAUAUUGUUAAAAUGUUCAACCUGUGUCUAGAUUAUCAAGCAUGUUAUUUAGCACGUUGAUGCUCCUUAAAUAUGCACAAACAUCUCAAUAUAGGUGCAAGAAUCGUAUGAUAUUAUCAGAUGUAAUAAUUGAACUUAUGUUAUAUUUGGAUAGUGUAUUCAUAAUUUGUGUAUUUAAAGUUGCUAAUGGGCAUUGUUAGCCACAUCACAAACUCACUGUUAAAACACUGCUUAUUGUGCCUUAUUGUGUUUAUGUACUUGCAUUGGUGCAGUAAUAUUGAAUGCAGUAAGGUCAUUGGUGUGUUUUAGCUUUGAACACAUAACACAGAGCUCAACCAAUCAGAAUAAUCAUUGAUAAUGAAGUAAAAGUUUUAAACGGGUAAGUUGAUAUGAAAUAUUGUAAGCACAUUCAUCAGGAUGACUUUGCUGACCUUGUGACCUUUAUUACCACAUUUAGGCCAAAAUGUGAAAACUCUACUUGAUUGAGUGUAUUAUAGGAUAUAACUGUUGUGCACCAUUGAAGAUAAACAUCAUAAAUUCUUUCUUAAAGAUGGAUAA